rnacentral:rRNA from 1 species
UACGGGGGGGGCAAGCGUUGUUCGGAAUUACUGGGCGGAAAGGGCGCGUAGGCGGUUCGCUAAGUUGGAUGUGAAAACUCUGGGCUCAACCCAGAGCCUGCAUCCAAAACUGGCGGGCUAGAGUUCUGGAGGGGGUAGCGGAAUUCCUGGUGUAGCGGUGAAAUGCGUAGAUAUCAGGAGGAACACCGGUGGCGAAAGCGGCGCGCUGGAUCUCUACUGACGCUGAGGCGCGAAAGCCAGGGGAGCAAACGGG